rnacentral:rRNA from 1 species
AUACGGAGGGUGCGAGCGUUAAUCGGAAUUACUGGGCGUAAAGCGUGCGUAGGCGGUUUGUUAAGCAAGAUGUGAAAGCCCAGGGCUCAACCUUGGAACUGCAUUUUGAACUGGCAAACUAGAGUAUUGUAGAGGGUGGUGGAAUUUCCAGUGUAGCGGUGAAAUGCGUAGAGAUUGGAAGGAACAUCAGUGGCGAAGGCGGCCACCUGGACAAAUACUGACGCUGAGGUACGAAAGCGUGGGGAGCGACCAGGAUUAGAUACCCUGGUAGUCCACGCCGUAAACGAUGUCAACUAGCUGUCUGUGGACUUGAUCCGUGGGUAGCGUAGCUAACGCGCUAAGUUGACCGCCUGGGGAGUACGGCCGCAAGGUUAAAACUCAAAUGAAUUGACGGGGGCCCGCACAAGCGGUGGAGCAUGUGGUUUAAUUCGAUGCAACGCGAAGAACCUUACCAUCCCUUGACAUCCAGAGAAUUUACUAGAGAUAGUUUAGUGCCUUCGGGAACUCUGAGACAGGUGC